GGGAGGACGAACACUAUUACGGAUUGGGGUGACGGGGAAGGGAAGGCGAGCGAUAGAAAAGAUAGAAAGAGGCAAGAAUUGCGUAAAGCGGGGAUAGUCACCACCAGGAUCCAGCAGCAGUCCCGUUGCACGACGUUCCGACGGUCCGAGGCCGAAGGGCAGGAGCAGCGAGGCCGGUCUUGGGCAACAAGAGGGUGCAGGUACCGGGUGGGUCCAGGAAGAAGCCGCAGAGUAAGUCUGGGAGGAAGCAGCAGGUCUCAGGUAGCAGGCCCAGGGAAGUCCGU
rnacentral:lncRNA from 1 species